GUGACAGCCUCCUUCCUCUCCUUUACAACUAGAGAGAUGUUGCCUCUGGCUCCAAAGACCAUCUUCCAUCAAGGAAAGAGGGACAUUCCCAAUACUGUGACCUCCAACCCCAUGGGUUGCAGGGUUUCCCAUCUCUGAUCUCACCCAGGAAGUCCUGGUCAUGUCAUGGUCACAUAUGUUUAGUGGGAAAAAACACCACCGAUACAACUGUCAUUGUGAAAGUACGGAAGUCUGGAGUCUCUCAUAAGCCUGGGGUUCUGGGUCAUCAGAUCCUAUGCAAACCUUACCUGGGGUGAGCUUUCGGACGAGGUGCUGUGCCAGCCUACAGCCCUCGGCCAGCUGUUCUUGGAGGUCCCUCCCCUGGAAGUUGGCCGGCUCAUCCAGAGUGAGGAGGGCCUGGAGAUGCUGAUUCAAUGCGCGGGAGGCAUCUCUCCCUUCCCGCAACUUCUCCCUUAACUGGCUCAGCUCUCGUUCCUGAGACUGAACCAGGACUUUAUAUUGCCUAAGGAGAGAUAGUAGAGAAAAUAGAACAGUGGAAAGGGGUGACUGAUCAGUUCGAAUACUGCGACAGAGAUUUCUGAGACAAUGUCCUCAAGGAGACCUCCAAGGAGAAGGUCAGCACAUAUUUCAAAUGUCUGUGACCAAGAGAAAGAACAAAAAAUGGUUUACAGGCUUCGUCUAUAUCAGAGAGGGCUCCUGUAAGAUCCUCGACAAUGUUCCAUUUAUUUUUCCCUUCUGUAAACAAAAGUAGGUGACUUCCUUAUUCAGUUUCAAAAAGACAUUCAUUCUUUCAGUUCCUCACUCUGGCCAGGGACAUUUCCAUAUGAAAAUACACAUAGUGCAUCUCACAGUCUCUAGAUGCAAAGCCAUGGACAGAAAUGAGGCCCGGUGCAGAGGGGACCAGUCGAAAAGAUGAAAGAAGAAAAGAAUGACAGGCUCCAGAAGGCAACACUGAUUGACCGAAAGGAUGAGAAGCCGCAGUCAGUCAGGAGGUGAUUCUGACUAAGGAAGUAAGGGAAGGAUUAAAUUAUUUUUGAUGGAGAGAGAAUUCAGUUUCUCAGAGAGAAGACAGGACAUCAUUCAUCACUUUCGUGAUGGUGAGCCUAUGGAACUUACUAACAUGGCAAGAUUGAGGUUAUGGUCAGGGUUGGCUGGUGAUCCUCAGUGGUGCAGCAGAAGGUGAGUUUGAGAUGAGAGGAAUGAGUAGGAAAGAGCAAUCCCCUGAGCCACCUCCUCACUUUCUCAGCUUCCAUCCCCACCGAGGUUUUGUGAGCCUGGAACUUGGGAGACUGUUCUGUAGCCCAGGUCUCCUAGGAUUGGCUGCUGGACUUGCCUGACUUGUGGGUGCACUGGGUGUGAUCCUGGGCCGCUCAGCAUUCAUGUGGAAGUGAAGGAACGAGGACUGGAUCAAUCCCAUUUGAAGGGGUGCCUCACUGCAGCCCGCACCGUCCUCCAAUGACACUGUAAGGAUACUGCUUUGAGAUGUAUCAACAGCUUUAAGUAAAUGUAUUUUCCGGGGUCUGGGAGACCUGACGUUCUGUGUCAUGAUGAAAAUCUGUCAAGUUUUUUCAUUUUAAAAAUGAUAAAACUGCAGGUUCACAAAGUUACAUGGCUUACUUGAGGUCACACAGGGAUGAGUUUUCAGCACUGCCAAUAAAAGCAAUCACAGUCAUUAUUCAGUCAUUAUUCAUAGGAUCCACAUAAUUCAGUAAAUAUUCACAUAAUUAUUUAGUAGAUAUUCACUGACCAAUUCAUACAAGGCAUUUUGCUCAAAACUGUGCUCAUAUUUGGAUGUUGUAUCUUCACCAUAAUCCUUAAGGUAAUGCUAUUAUCCAUACGUAACAGGUAAGAAACCUGAAGAAGAGGGAUAGCAAAGCAUGUAUGUGGACAUAUUUCCAUUUUUUGGUUUUUGUGAUGCUGGAAGAAUGACCAGAAUGAGUCACAGGAAGAAUAUACAUACCUGGAUUAUUUUCCAGGACAGAGGUGUGCCCUCCUAGAGUACUGGGACCAAAAUUCUCAAGUGUCUGAAACCUUGCUUUAACAUUAUGGGAAAUAACCUCUAUCUCCUGGAAUUUCCCUGAAAAUUUGGAAUAUACAAGAGAAGUAUGAGACUUGGGUCUUCCCUUGGCUGUGUUUAAUUCACUCUUCUAUGGAAUACCAAUGAUUCUCACUAAGACUUUUGCCUUUUUAUAACCACAGUGUAUGUUUCAUGGAGAUGAUUUUACACUUUGCUCUAUUUAGAAAGAAUAAAUAUGAGCAAUGGUUUAGGUGUUAUGCCUUGGACUUAAUAUUUUUCUGAUUCCUGUUUUGAGAUUAAAUUCUCAUGGAAAUAGAAAAAUACUUAUGAUUUCUCAUAAGGCCAAGUUUGUUAUUAGUUUGAGUUUUUGAAGUUGAAGCACAAACCUUAGAUUUGUGCACUCAAUUUGGGGACCCACUGAUAGCACUGACCUUACAGUUGAUGGGAUGAUUCUUUGUGUUUUGCUGAUGAAGAAACUGAGGCACAGAGAGUCUCUAACUUGUCCAAGUUCCCCUUGCUGUAAGUCCUGGAGCCAGAUCUCAGGUGGAGCAGCCUCUUCCCCACUCCCUUCUCACAUUUUCCAAUCCAGCUGGGUCAGUUCCUUCCAAGUACAUGUUUUGCUCCCUCAUACC